rnacentral:rRNA from 1 species
GUGAGUAAUGCAUCGGAACGUGCCCAGUAGUGGGGGAUAGCCCGGCGAAAGCCGGAUUAAUACCGCAUACGCACUACGGUGGAAAGCGGGGGACCGAAAGGCCUCGCGCUAUUGGAGCGGCCGAUGUCGGAUUAGCUUGUUGGUGGGGUAAAGGCCUACCAAGGCGACGAUCCGUAGCUGGUCUGAGAGGACGACCAGCCACACUGGGACUGAGACACGGCCCAGACUCC